UUGGCUCACAGCCAGCGGGAGGUGAGCAUCCAGGCUGCCCCCAGCCCGCAAGGAGGAGCUGAGAGGCAGGAGUAGAAACACAGUGGUUUACCCAGAGAGAUCCAGCGUCAGUCCUCAGUAGUUCAGGACUGUCUGCUCUUCUCUUAACAAGUAAAUACUCCAAACUGCAUCUGUAGAAAGAAUAUACACGGGGCUACCUGGGGUUUGUACCUUGUACUUUAAAUGCUACUGGAUCAUAAACAAGUACAAACAUAGAAACAUUUCAAAAACACCCAUUUCACUUUGCUGCAGAUAAACAGAAGCCUUUGCAGACUGGGGGCUGUCAACAAGCAGGAGUUGGGGAUGACGUUCCCCAUCCCACCGCCUUAAUAUGCAUCAGAACAGCACCUCCGAUGGCAGCCACAAAUCACGCUGCAGACAGAGAUCAAGAAAAGAUCAAAAUCUCUUGGAAAGAUCUGGCUAAGUGAUUUGAAUCCUUUAAGAAGCAUGCACAAAAAACUUUGUACUCCGUAUCUGACCAAUCUGGAGAGAGAACAUGUGCACAUGUGCCCACAGCAAACAUGAGAAAGUUGUUCCAGCAGCAGAGGUCAUUCUUCUAUAUACAGCCAGUGGAGGUUUUUUCAUGUAUGUAGGCUGAAACACUUUACCAGCUGGCAUGCUAGAACCACAUUUUUACCAAAGAUUUUCAACAUUAGCUUUGUGAAUAGAGUCUAACCUGAACAAACUCUUUUACAGCUUGGCAAUUUCCUUGUUACAGGUAGAAGCACAGUGCUGGAUCGAGGAUCUCUCCUUUGCUCUUUUCUUUUUUGAUUUGAAAUUGCUCUCUCAAAUUUUGUGGCAAUAUUAAAUAAUACAAAAUGCAGGUGAGAGCCCUUGAACCGUAAAAGCAGCAAAUGAAAAGCUCUGGGAAGCCUUUACAGGUACAUUUUAAACGCGGGUACAGAGCAUGUCACUGCAGGUCUGAAGCAUUCUGGUGAACUGUUGAGAAGAAAUGAAAAUGAGUCACUGAGUUCCUGCAGUUACUGCUGUCAGGAGAGGUUCUGAAGCUCUUCACUUUCACGCACUGCUCUGCUCAGUGCCCCUUCCACUGCUUCUGCUCUGCCCCUGCCUUGCAUGUGGUGCCUGGUGCAUCCUACAAAAAGACUGGUCCCAGGGUUUAUUUUCACAUUCUGCUAUGAAAAUUACUAUGUAGUAAAGUAAGUAACAGCAACGUCUGCAGGAAAUAAAGCAUUUGUCAAUAAAAAAUAGAAUUUACCA
rnacentral:lncRNA from 1 species